AUUGAACGCUGGCGGCAGGCCUAACACAUGCAAGUCGAACGAGUGGCGGACGGGUGGGUAAUGUCUGGGAAACUGCCUGAUGGAGGGGGAUAACUACUGGAAACGGUAGCUAAUACCGCCUACCAUCGGAUGUGCCCAGAUGGGAUUAGCUAGUAGGGGGGGUAAAGGCUCACCUAGGCGACGCUCCCUAGCUGGUCUGAGAGGAUGACCAGACACACUGGAACUGAGACACGGCCCAGACUCCUACGGGAGGCAGCAGUGGGGAAUCUUGCACAAUGGGCGCAAGCCUGAUGCAGCCAUGCCGCGUGUAUGAAGAAGGCUUUCGGGUCGUAAAGCUCUUUUGGUGGGGAGGCGUUACCCGAAGAAGAAGCAACGGCUAACUCCGUGCCAGCAGCCGCGGUAAUUC
rnacentral:rRNA from 1 species